GGUGGCAGCAGACUCAGGAGAUAUAUCGGGGGCCUAUGGGGGGGCCUGGUGGGGAGUGGCCCCCACUCGGGUUCUCGAUCGCCGGAGCGUGGCUGCCGGAAGUGCGCUAAGGGAUUUCUUUCUCCCCGGGCACCUGCGGGAAACUGAGGCUCGGAUUGAGCUCGGGCCCGUGCGAGGCGCUGAGGCCGCCGUCUUAGCCUGCAGGAGCGGAAGAUGUCGGACAGCGAGGACAGCAACUUCUCGGAGGAGGAGGACAGCGAGCGCAGCAGUGACGGCGAGGAGGCCGAGUGAAGAAGCCUGGCCUUUGUGAAACCACCACACUGGAGAGACACCCAAAGGAGCCCACAGAGAGGGACCCAGGUGCCUGGGGAGCCCCAGGGCUUCCAGCCCAGUGACCCGACAUGUGAGUGGGUAUGAGCAUUCCGAUGAGUCCAGCCUCAGCCACUGACCCUUACCAGGUGAAACUGAGCAGAGCAGACAUGGCUGACGCAACUAAGCCCUGUCCAAAGUGUAGACUCAUGAACAGAAUAAAUGUUAUUUUAUCGUCUC